UUGGUUUCUUCGAAAAACCCCGGGACAGGGGCUUCUCUUAAAGAUUUCGCUUGGCUUCCAACAAUAUCCUCAAGGCUUUCUUCUUCUGCCCCUUCGUUUUCUGGGCCAUAUGCUUGUUUUUCGAUGGUGAUGUUGGGGCUGGCUCUGGCUUGUCUAUCGAUGAGAAUGGUCU
rnacentral:rRNA from 1 species